GCGGCUCCCCACCCCCGCCCCAGCCUGGGAACCCCGAGCUGUGGGGCCGCCGCCGAGGAGUAGGGGAAGCAGUUCUCUCAGCUGGCGGGCAGUGGACUGUGCUGGGCUCAGAGAAGAAGAGAAAACAACAGGACAGAGAUGCCCUGAGUAAAGGAGGAAGGGAUUCUGGAAUGCUGUGGCAUUGGAUACAAUUGGGGUCCUCAUGGCCAGGGGGACAGAAAUGUCCCAGCUCACGGGCAUAUACUAUGGGUAGGGGGCAACACGGUGGAAAUAGCUUGGGACCGGCGAGAACAAGGUAAGCUGGAUCCGGGUCCAUUUAGCUAGCAUCAAGACAGCGUCCACUUCUUCGGGCGAUCAGGGCCUCGAGGAGACAGCGCUUCCUGCCACUGCUCAGGACUUGGCCUUUUAUAGGGAAAGACUUGCUUGGGAGUCUUCCAAGAGCUUUUAAAUGAGUCUGGACCUGGGAGUUCCAGUGACGAUUCUUGGAUGUGGCUUCAUAGUCUUUGGUUUUAAAAGGCCAGGAAGAUUCGCAGACUUUAAGAGGCCGCACGCCCUUCACGCUGCCGGGAGUCUGGGCGGCGGUGAGCGCUCUGGAGCGGCUGCGUGAAUCUCUUCUCAGGCGAUCCCAGAUAAGAGAAAAUGAGAAAGAGGUUUCUGACUUCCAACUCAUUAGGGACCAGAUGUAAACCAACUACAGAACAUCCAUCACCAAAGACUUUGCCAUCCUGAAGAAGGAUCUUCUUCUGAACUGAUGAUGGACUUUAACUCACAAACACAAUUCCUCCUUAGGUGAUAGAUUUGGAAACUGAUUGGCAUGGCCUUGUGGACCAGAAAAGAAUUAAAAAACUAGUGUUAAUUGUUAAUCACAAUCUCACCUAGGACUCUUUGUAGGAAGCUGGCCCAGUGACCAUUGAACUGUGUUCCGAACCUCCAUCCUUAAGGCUGUUUCAGCUUAAGUCAUCGGAGAAAGACUUCCCUUCCAGCUCGGCAAGAGGGUGCAACUGUGACCCUUAGCAAAGCCCCCUUCAAACCACCAGCCUCAGGACAAAUACGUUAGUUUGGAUAAUCAUUUCACGAACAAUAAUCAAAAGGACAGACUGGAGUUAGCUGCUUCCCCAGGCAGCAGUUUCUCUCAGCAUCAGCCCGAAGUCUGCUCUGUUGCCCACACUGGUUUGUAGAAAUUGGGGUAAUUGUGAUCUAAAAUGUGCAUUACAAAACCUCUGCUUAUCUCCAAAAAUCAGCAUUUCUUAAAGCAAACAAUUUAAGUAGAAAAGUCAUUUGAUAAAAAUAAUUGGUUCGG